UCCUACUUUAUGUUGUUAACCUGUUAAAUGUCCUGACCAUGAAUUUCUCUGAAUCAGUUGAUAAUACACUAAUAAUUGUUAUAAUGUAAUUUCUCAACUACCAGAUACACAUAUAUAUAUAACAACUCUAUCUCUUAUGAAACAUUUCCAACAUCAGACAACAUUGACGUAACAGAAGAAGCAACCUCAAUGUCUACCAUGUUUGAAAGACAACAGGAAAAUAUACAAAGCAGAUGUAUCAAAUUGCUUCUACUGGUCUGUGAUAGAAUUCUUGUGAAUCAUUUGCUCUGAAAUAAUAUUAUCAACCAAAUUUCUGAACAUUACUGACUGGAGUGUCAAGAAGAGUAGCUUCUGUGUUGAUUAAGUUUGCUAAACAAAGAUAACACUGGACAGAAAUACAACAGUAGAAGUGCAUGUAAGGAAUAAAGUAUAAAA
rnacentral:lncRNA from 1 species